rnacentral:tRNA from 1 species
GCCGAGGCUGCCGAAGGCGAUGGCGGCCCGCUGCCGCUGGGCCGCCAGGAUCUCCCGGGCGUUCGCGGCGGUCGCCUCGGCG